CUACGUGCCAGCAGCCGCGGUAAUACGUAGGUCCCGAGCGUUGUCCGGAUUUAUUGGGCGUAAAGCGAGCGCAGGCGGUUAGAUAAGUCUGAAGUUAAAGGCUGUGGCUUAACCAUAGUACGCUUUGGAAACUGUUUAACUUGAGUGCAAGAGGGGAGAGUGGAAUUCCAUGUGUAGCGGUGAAAUGCGUAGAUAUAUGGAGGAACACCGGUGGCGAAAGCGGCUCUCUGGCUUGUAACUGACGCUGAGGCUCGAAAGCGUGGGGAGCAAACAGGAUUAGAUACCCUGGUAGUCCACGCCGUAAACGAUGGGUACUAGGUGUAGGAGGUAUCGACCCCUUCUGUGCCGGAGUUAACGCAAUAAGUACCCCGCCUGGGGAGUACGACCGCAAGGUUGAAACUCAAAGGAAUUGACGGGGGCCCGCACAAGCGGUGGAGUAUGUGGUUUAAUUCGACGCAACGCGAAGAACCUUACCAGGUCUUGACAUUGAUGGACAGAACUAGAGAUAG
rnacentral:rRNA from 1 species